ACCAAAGAAGUGCAAUUUUACUGAUAGAUUCGUCGUCGAAGUCUGCUUUGUAGUAGGCGCCGAAUAUGAAAAGGCAUUCAAUGAAACUCGGGAUCUCGUGAACUACCUAGCCGCGUUUCUAAAUGCGGUUGCCCUUUGGUUCGCUGGAAUGACUGAUCCAGUUAUACAAUUCCAGCUUAACGCAGUGAUCAAAACUGAGUGAAGACCUGGCGGUAAAAUUGAACGACACGUUCAUCAACAGGAAUAUUCAUGGUGUCACUUCCAUUGCUGGCGUUUGC